CAGUCGCCGCGGUAAUACGUAGGUGGCAAGCGUUGUCCGGAAUUAUUGGGCGUAAAGGGCUCGCAGGCGGUUUCUUAAGUCUGAUGUGAAAGCCCCCGGCUCAACCGGGGAGGGUCAUUGGAAACUGGGAAACUUGAGUGCAGAAGAGGAAAGUGGAAUUCCACGUGUAGCGGUGAAAUGCGUAGAGAUGUGGAGGAACAUCAGUGGCGAAGGCGACUCUCUGGUCUGUAACUGACGCUGAGGAGCGAAAGCGUGGGGAGCGAACAGGAUUAGAUACCCCUGUAGUCCCUGUCUCUUAUAC
rnacentral:rRNA from 1 species